CGCAGAGUUGCUUAGCAUGAUUCCCCGGUGGGCGUUGCUGGAAUGAGAUCAGAACCAGAAGACGCUGCAGGUCCUUGGACCCCCCACCCAAGCUCAUCCAGAGUGACAAGGAUGGAUGCUCUAGUGGGGACCUGGGACAGUGGAAUCGGGCCACUUCUGGUCUGUCUUGUGGGAGCCUGGGCUACACUACAAGAAGCUCCCUGCUGACUUCUGGGUCCUGGCCAUCACAUGGCUAGAGAAAUUGUUUCCUGAUAUAGGUGAAAUGCAGAGCCUGAUGUUGAUUUAUUCUCCAAGAAAUGGACAUCCUACUUCCCACCAAGGACAAGGCCCUGUCCAGAAUUGAGAGACUCCACAUGUGUGACCUAUGCCUCCCAGGAGAGCAGCACUAAACUAGUUUAAACCUGACCGAGUUCUGUCUACCUGGUAGAUUUAGAUUUCUCCAUGCCCUGUCUACACUGAGUAUAUUUAGAUUUGACCAGGUUCUGCCCACAGUAGGAUGUGGGGACCUGGGUAGAGACUCAGCCUCUGUCCUGAGAGCUUUGUGGGGGACAUGGGUUUCUGGGCAGAGACCCAGACUAGCCUCAGUCCUGGGAAGCCCUGUGCCUCUGUCCAAAUGUCUGUGCUUAGAUGUCAGCUCUGGAACUGAGAUGGGCUGGUCUGCUCUAAGUGUUGUUCUCUGCCCUCCCAGGGGUCAUUGCUGUGGGAGUGGCCUUAGUCCUUACCCCUGGAUGUCCACCUUCCAUGGGGCUGCUAGAGGCUCCUCAGGUGAGCUGCCUCAUAAUUAAACUAAUUCACCAGGGAGUUCCUGCUCUGGUGCAGCAGCUUAAGAAUCUGACUGCAGUGGCUCUAGUCGUUGCAGAGGUAUAGAUUUGAUCCCCAGUUUGGCACGAUGGGUUAAAGGAUCUAGCACUGCUGUAGCUGCAGCAUAGGUCUAAGCUGGCCUGGGAACUUCCAUACGUUGUGGGUGCAGCUAUUAAAAAAAAUACAUAAAAAAUAAACUAAUUCACCAGGAUGCACAGGGUGAGGAGGGAGGCAGGUGUGCCUGGUGAAUUGAAUGCGGGACACGUGGGUCUGGGUGUAAGGCCAAUCGGCAGAAGGAGAAGUUGCCUCUGGGGUCUCCUUCUAGUUGCCCAUCCCUGCUCAGCAGAGUCCAGAUCUGCCUCUCCUCUUUCAGCCCUGGUUUCCCAUGUGUCUUCUCAACACUUUGGCAAGACAGGAAAUGGCUGAGCCUACCAGAACAAAGGUAGUGUGUUCAACUUUAGCAUAAAAGGUUAAAAGCAAUUAAAAUCACCCAGAACCAAAGUGAAAAGAGGUGGGACUGACUUCUCUGGAAUAGGUAUUAGAGGAGGAGACAAACCCUACACUUAUUUUAUAGUCCUAGCAGGUCCUGGAGACCUGGCUUAUUCCCAGGUUGGGAGCCCCCCAAGCACAGCCCUGGUGUCCUGACCAAGGGCACCUGUGAACCCAAGUGCAGGGUCUAGGGAGGUGCUGUGGUGUAGGCCAGCAGCUACAGUUCUGAUUGGACCCCUAGCUUGGGAACCUCCAUAUGCCGUGGGUGCAGCCCUUAAAACCAAAAAAAAGUGCUAUAGGAAGAAAGUUAUAUUUACUACUACAAAGAAAACUGAAUUUUUGUUCACAAUUAAGCAUUAACCUGAGAAUAGUGGAAAUCAGUGUAUGAAAUUUCCUGAAAUAGUGAAGACUGCUCCCAUUGACAUUACAUAAUGAAAGUAUGCUACUACAUCAUAUGUACCCUGGAGGACAAGGUCCCAGGAUGAACUGGCUGCGAUGAUUCCUAUUAAACCACCUGUUGUACAUAGAAAAAUAAAGCCUAAAGCUGUCAAGGUAGUGGGAGAUCAUGCUAUGUUACAUCUGUGAACCAGCUGAAUAUCUUUACUCCUGUAGGAACAGCAAUAAUUAUGGCAGCUGAUGUAAGCUCAUGGAUUAACAUCUAUCCCUGUGAUAAAUAUAUGGUGAGCCCAUAAGAUAAAUCCUAAAAAGCCAACGGACAUGAUUCAUAACCCUUUCCAUGUAUCUGAAAGGUUCUUUUUGUCCUAAAUAGUGUGUCAUGAUAUGUGAAACUAUUCCAAACCCUGGGAGGCUAUGAAUAGAGACUUCAGGGUGACAAAGAAUCAAUAUAGGUGUUGGUAUAGGAUUGGGUCUCCUCCUGCGGGGUCAAAGAAAGUAGUUUAGAUUUUGAUCUGUUAACACUGAGGUAAUUCCAGUUGCUAGGACUGAGAGGGAUAAUUAUAAUAGUACAGCUAUAAUUGGGGCAGAUCAAACAAAUAAUGGUGUUUGGUAUUGGAAUAAUGGCUGGUGGUUUAAAAUUAAAGAUUGUAAUCAUAAAAUUAAUAGCACCAAGGUUUGAGGAAACAUUUGCUAAAAGGAAGGAGAAAAUGGUUAGGUUGACAGCGGCUUCUGCGUGUACCCGAUUGCCAGCUAGAGGUGGAUGUAUGUGUCGACCAGUACCAGAACCAGCUUUGCUAGUGAUGAUACAAGUUGGAAUAUGAAUGAGGGGGAUGUAGUCAAAAGUUUAGAUUAUUUAGUGAAAUGCUACAUCAGGUGUCCCAGUUAUUAGUGGAACAAGACAGUUUCCAAACCCUCCAAUGAUAAAUGGGCACAACUAUAAAGAAAAAUAUUAGAAAUGCAGGGUCUGUCAUGACUAUGUUACAGAUUUAGUCAUCUCCAAAUAGGCUGCAGGUUAGCGUAGCUGAGCUCAGAUCAAUAGACUUAAGGUGUUGCCUACUGUUCCAGCUCAAGCACCAAAUAGUAAAGUGACAAUACAUUUGUGAUUUGUUGGAAGUAAUAAGCAAUUUAGGAACACAGGUAAAGUGGCUAAGCAAGCAUUAGAAUAUAAAUCAAAAGAAAGAAAUUAGCUCUCUUUUUGUCAAAUCCUGUGAUGAAUUAACUAAUGGAAUUGCAAAUUCAAAGAAGCAGCUUCAAUUUGGCUUUUCCAUAUUUUUCUGUUUCCUUGAAGACAAGAGCAGUAGCUUGAAGCCAGUUGCCUAGAGUAUUUACCUGUUAACUAAAAUUUUCUGGGGUGGAAGUCCAUCUUUCGUAAACCUUAUUUUCAGGAAGUAAGUAAACCCUGACCCUUGCUUAGGGUUUUGAAAGCUCUUGGUCAAAACAAACCUAAAUUCCUAGUCCAGCACUGAUAGAGUGGGCGUUAAGGGUAAUAAUGUGGACAUUAUGAUUGAUAAUGAUUGAAAGUUUUUUUGCUUUGGAUGUGAAAAUUGUUUUACCUUUAUGUUUAUUGAAGGGAGUAUAGUUAGUGAUGUGGAGAUUGAUAGCCACAAGUAGAAAUAUGUGCUGAGUAGUACUCUGAUGACUUUUGUGUAAGUAGAACGAUGUUAUCAUUUUUUUCUCUCUUGCAUAAUUUUUCACUUGGGUGAAAACACUGAUGUUGAUGGGAGGCCUUCUAACGAUACUCUGAUGAUGAGGAUAAGGAUUGUGAUGGGAGGUGGGUUUGUUUUCAUCCAUGUGAUAAUGAUACUGUUGUGGUACAUGAGGGGGCACAAAUAGUUAAGAAGUUAGUGGUAUUAUGACAUAAUUAGUGCAUUUAGGAUUGUUAUGGUUGGAUUAUGCAUUAUCAUAGCUGUUAUUCAUCCUAUGUGGACAAGUGAUGAGAAGGCCAUGAUAUUUGCAGUUGAGCUUGGUUGAGUCCCUUGCAGCCUCCAAUUAAGAUUCAUAACAUAGCUUUGACAGUAUGUUUAGUUGAUGAGUGUUGAGAUUUAGGUACAAAUCUGUCAUGUUAAUAACAUCAGGCCUGUUGUUCACAUUAGGCCUUGUGUUACUUCAGGCACUCAGAACUGAAAUGAGAAAAGUCCUAAUUUUAUGGCAAAAGCUAUUGUUUUGCUGGUGGAUGCUGUUGGACUAAAGAUUUUUUUGUAAUUUAUUGUGUUAGACUAACAAUAACCGCCAUCAUAAGUAAUAUUGAUGUGGUAGACUGUUUCAGAAAAUAUUUGUUGGAUGCUUCUAUAGCUUAUGGUUUAACUUUUUUAUUAGAAUGAAGAUAAUGUUAAUUAGUGUGAACUUCCUGAGAUAAUGAUCAGUAAAAUGAUAGUAAAAACAAUAGGGUUUAUUAGUACAUGAAGAUAUAAAACAGCAUAUAUACAACAUGUUGGGGGCAUGGGCCUGACAGCUUACUUACUGGGACUUAUUGUAGUGGUGUAACAUGAUAGCAGAAGCAUGUACAAUUCUUUUUUUUUUUUUUUCUUUUUUUUUUU